rnacentral:rRNA from 1 species
UAAAGCGACCAUAACCAGCACUAAUGCAUCAUAUCCUAUCAGAACUAUGCAGUUAAGCAUGCUUAGCCAAGAGUAAUACUAGGAUGGGUGACUUCCCGGAAAGUUCUCGUGUUGCAUCCC